rnacentral:lncRNA from 1 species
CCGCCGCCGCCGCCGCGGGCCCCGGGCCCCGCCGUCGCCGCCGCGCCUGCCGCCUCCUUCCCCCGUCGCCUCGCCCUCUUCCCCCCGCCGCCGCCGCCGCCGCCGCCGCCGCGAACCAACAGCCGCCACACUCAACAGCCGGCCGCGUCUACGACAGCAGCACGGGCAGAAGCCACCCAGGCCGCCGAGGACCCCGCGCUAUAUAAGGCAAGGCCCCGCCGCGGGCUGCCCGCGGAGAACGCCUGACUGACCCACGCUCCGCCGGGGCCGCGGGCCGCCGCCAGGGGGCGCCGUGGCCGCCCGAGCACACGCGCCACCCAGACGCCCGCGGGGCGCGCCGCCGACUUCGGGAAACGGGGAGCGGGCCUCGGCUCUCCGCGUGUGCGGCGCCCUAGCGGAACCCGGCCCCGGUGCGGUCUCAAGGCUCGCACGGGGCGAGCGACAGGUGCGCGCGCACCUGCUGGGCGCGUCCGCGCUUUUCAAUCCCAGAGCGCGCGCCGCCGCCGGGUGAUUUAAACUUUCCCUGCGCCAGGCUCCGCUUCCCUCCCUUGAAGCCCAGGGCUACCUUUCUGUCUGCAUCGGAGCCCCACCGCACUCUGCGACAUAGGUCCCCAAGACAAUACAGCAAGGAGCUCCUUGCCAAAUGCCAGUGCCUCAAUACUGAACAUAGCCUAUAAAAAGGUGAGAAAUGAACUUUUUUUUCCAUAACUUAUCCUGAUAUAAACAGACUAUGGUAACUCAAAAUACUCUAAAAUACCAUAUUGUCUAUAAAACAAGUUUUUAUAUGAUUACCACUCAAAUGUAGCAUCUAAUACAUUUAUAAAUAUAAAUGCUUUUUCUCUUUCAGUACCAGCAAGUGCCUUUGUCUUCAAAGAAAUGCUUUUCUUUCCAUCGUUUAAUCUAUGUUCUCCUAUGAGGAAUCCCAAGAAUAGGGUAAAAGGUACAAUUUAAAUAAACAGAGA